rnacentral:rRNA from 1 species
UACGUAGGGUGCAAGCGUUGUCCGGAAUUAUUGGGCGUAAAGAGCUCGUAGGCGGUUUGUCGCGUCUGCUGUGAAAUCCCGAGGCUCAACCUCGGGUCUGCAGUGGGUACGGGCAGACUGGAGUGCGGUAGGGGAGAAUGGAAUUCCUGGUGUAGCGGUGGAAUGCGCAGAUAUCAGGAGGAACACCGAUGGCGAAGGCAGUUCUCUGGGCCGUAACUGACGCUGAGGAGCGAAAGCGUGGGGAGCGAACAGG